UACAGAGGUCUCAAGCGUUGUUCGGAUUCAUUGGGCGUAAAGCGCACGUAGGCGGAUUGUUAAGUCGGGGGUGAAAUCCUGGAGCUCAACUCCAGAACUGCCUUCGAUACUGGCGAUCUCGAGUUCGGGAGAGGUGAGUGGAACUGCGAGUGUAGAGGUGAAAUUCGUAGAUAUUCGCAAGAACACCAGUGGCGAAGGCGGACUCACUGGCCCGAUACUGACGCUGAGG
rnacentral:rRNA from 1 species